CUUGAACAUAUUUGGUGGUGUUCAGGCUUAAUCUUAUUUUCUAUAAUAUUACAUAAUUUAGAUUCCUUUUUAUUUGAAAUAGAAAUGGGUUAUUUAGAUGAGAAUUUAUAGAUUGACGAUGUUGAAGAGCUGGCGGUCCUCACCGACAGUGUGAAUGUGCGAGACCACAUUCAGCUCACCUCAGAAAUCGGUAGAGGCAAUCGAUAUGAAGUGAGCAAAGCAUAGGACAAGAGCUGUCUGUCUCGUUUCAUCAGGUUGUUGUGCUUUCUCUGUCGACACCGUACUCAGAGCAGAUUCACACUGUGAGCAGAGAGCAUCUAAGCGGGAAACACCAUGGGUCUUAAGCUGGGCGUCGGGAAGUAUUCUCUUGUCCACCAAUCUUGCUUCGUCGCAGCUCUGAUUGUCUUGUUGGGCACACUGCCCACCUGCGACGGACAGACUACCACUAUAUAUAACGACAAUAACCAAGUGGACGCACUGAAAGACCUUUUGCGAGCAUGGAAUCAAACCCCCAACCUUGAGACUACCUUGGCUAAGUGGGACAUGGAUUCAACAUCUCCGUGCUUGGACGGAGGCAAUUGGCGUGGGGUGCAGUGUCUCAUCAACUGUACAUCAUAUGGCAAGGAUCAGAAUUGCUAUAGCUACAUUAUAGGCGUGACUCUCCAAAGUGCAUCACUUGUAGGCUCUAUACCAUCAACCAUUGGACACAUUACCACGCUGUAUAGACUGGAGUUGACAGGAAAUCCAGAUCUCACUGGACCUCUUCCAGGGACAUUGAAUCAAACUAGUCUUGCCAUUUUGGAUGUUCACGACAAUGCGUUGAAGGGUGAACUCCCUGAAUUCGGGGUCCAUUUCAUCUUCCUCUUGACAUUGGACUUAAGUGGCAACAAGUUUAAUGGGUCCUUCCCGAUUUCUCAAAUUAAUUGGCUGCCGUACAUCGAAACAUUAAGACUCGGCAGAAAUCGUUUUGAGGGGCCGGUCCCAGAACGAGCGUUUGAAAACAUGACCAAUCUUUUCGACCUGGACUUGUCAAGCAACAAGUUUAACGGGACACUGCCAAACCUGACAAUGAUACAUUCCUUACGCACUGUGGAUUGCCUUGGAAAUAUAACACAGGAUGUAGCACAAUGCAUCUUGCAGGAGAUUGUUAAUAUCAUCAACAAUCAAGCUCAGGAAUUUGAGCAGGAAUGGAUUUACAGGAUCGUUUCUGAUUUCGUCGUACUUCAACAGAACUAAGAAAUACAGCCUUCCAGUGUUGGAUAUAUCGCACAAUCCACUGACACUCGAUCAAAAUAUCUGGAGCGCGUACGAACUUGGCUCGGUCCAGGAGCUGUAAGCUCAUUUUAUCAAGUUCGAAAUUACAAAAAUCUAGAGUGAACAUGAUUUAACCGGACGCCAUGUAAUACACUUCCUUUAUCAUGCUUAAAAUACAUUUCAUUAUCCAGAAUAUUUUUAUCAGGUUGUAUUCAAGAUUUAGAAUUUCCGCAAUGCAGUUAUCAAAAUGUUGCAAUGCCACGGAAGUCGCCUCACAAGAUACAUUGCAUUAUCGGUAUCUCGACAACAUUCGCAUGGAUGCAACACUGAACAUCAGUCGACUGUAUGACCUGGGCUUGCUCAUGUCUAAAAACUCGACAGCAAAACCAAGCACGCUUACAGUGCUUUCAUUGAUGGACAACAACAUAAGCACUGUUGUCUAUGACGCAAAUUGUAUCAUUGAUAUCGCCACAGUUAUCAGACUACAAGGGACUCCCUUCUGCAAGGAUCCAUAUUCUGAUGACGGAAGGAGAUGUUUCUGUGCACAAAGUUGCUUCAACUCGGUUCCAAUGCAAGAAACCAAACGCAAGGUUACGAUAAUCGCUGUGGUGGUCAGUGUAACCUCAUCACUGAUCCUAAUGAUCAGUCUGGCUAUUCUAUUUCAUAGAAACAAAAAGCUCAAGCAAUAUCAGCUUCUGGUCCAACAAAAGUUUGAAGAGUUUGAGGUGAAGCCAAAAUUGUGGUGCUGUAGGGUCAAAGUCAACCCCAACGUCCCCACACGCGCAUGGACACAUGCCCACAUGGCUAUCUCCUUCCUGGCCCUGCCCGAGAGAGCGCCGGGCAGGGAGCGUGGUGGCGAGGGCAAGUCAGGCUCAGCAGCGCAAAUUUGUUGGUUUGAGAGUUGGUUCGUUCGUUUGGUUGUGGCCUUGCCUGGCGAAGGAGAGAGGGAGAGGAACUCUGACUGUGCUGCUCUUCCUCCUCCGCCACCUCGCAUUUCCGUUUAUUUCCCCUUCUUUUUCAACUUCAAUUCCACCCUCCCUCUCUCUCUACCCUGUCUCCCUAAUCUCACUGGAUCCUUCUCGCUCUCUCUCUCUCUCUAUUACCUAUUGGUCUCUCUGUCCCUCUGUGUGUGUGUGUGUGGAUUCUAUGCUCAUUUUGGCACUACCCACCAUAGCAUUGCCUUGAUUUUUCUUUUUUCUCUCUCUUUAUCACUAAUCUGGCGUGAUGUGCAGCGGUUUUCGGACCUUAGGGAUUCAAGAUGGGGUUGGACUGCUGUCAUUGGGUGUCUACGGUUCCAGUGGAUUGCAAAUUUGGAUCGUGUGUGUUGUGGGUUUGUAAAUUUGGGUGGUUGAAGGAGGGGAGAGGGAACUGGGCAGACUUGUGAGGUUUCGCGAAAGGUGCGAGCCGUGAUGGGUGCCGCUUGUGAAGGCGGAGUGAUUCUGUUGUGGGUUGCGUAGUUGAUUGGAGGGGCUGAAGAGGUUAUCCGAGGUAAUUGGGUGUUGUUUAGUGGGUUUGCAGAUUUUCUAGUUUUGUGCGUGCUUUGGACUGUUGAGCCUGUCCACCAGACUUUGAACCUAGGGUUUGAUAUACUCUCCAUUCAAAAUUUAUUUUUUCAUGUUAUUUUUAUUUUUA